UACGGAGGGUGCAAGCAUUAAUCGGAUUUAUUGGGCGUAAAGGGCGCGUAGGCGGGCAUAUAAGUCAGAUGUGAAAUCCCGGGGCUCAACCCCGGAACAGCAUUUGAAACUAUACGUCUAGAGGGUAGGCGGAGAAAACGGAAUUCCACAAGUAGCGGUGAAAUGCGUAGAUAUGUGGAAGAACACCGGUGGCGAAGGCGGUUUUCUAGCUUACUCCUGACGCUAAAGCGCGAAAGCAAGGGGAUCAAACAGG
rnacentral:rRNA from 1 species